AUAAAGCGUUGCGCCCCUCGAAGGAGCAAAUCGGGUGCUAUCUCAACUUUGUGCGGGCUCAUCCUGAAAUAAAGAUGCAUAAAAACGACCCAUCGCGGCCGAAAAGGGUUGAAGAGCUUUGGGCGGAACUCUCCGUACAAUUAAAAGGGCCCACCCGAAACCCCAUCAAAUGGAGAGAGAAUCUGAGUCAUUGGAAAAAUCAAAUACGGUCACGUGCAAGGAGAGCCAAGGCGCACAAGCUGGUGGCAGGUGGCGGUCCCAGCUAAACAAUUAAGCUCUCUGAAACGGAGCAGAGAGCAUUGAAUACUUUGGGGUCAAUCGCGAUUGAUGGGUUGGUUGAUGUACCCGCCAUUGGCACAGAGGAAGAAAUAGAUUUCAUAGCUGCAUUAUCACCCCUGAUGACGACUUCGGAUGCGUCCAAUGACUGCACUCCGUCAGCGUUCCGUACCAAAAAAAUGACGACGGACGAAAUGUUCAGGAAUUACAUGGAUUUGAUGAAAGGAGAAGCCGAGGAGGAGAGAGCUUUCCGGAUUCAAACAUAAGAUUCCAUUAACAAACACAUGGAAUCUAUUAAGAAUUUAGCGGCAGCGGUGGUGUAGCUUGCUCAGACCAUUGUAAAAAACAGAGAAGAUUGUACAAAAAAUUGAAAGUGAAAAUUGUGUCUUUUUA